UGAGAUGAAGCACUGUAACUCC
rnacentral:miRNA from 1 species